CCACAGCGUUUCAUUCUUCUCCCUGCCCGGAACGCCUCUAGCUGCUAUUUGGGACAACCUAGCCCCAUGGAGCCGUCUCCUCCUUGUCCCUUCCUCGCUCAUCGUUCUGGGCAUCUGCGGCCCGGACACAUGUCCUCUGCAGCCAAGCUGCCUGAGACCUGCUCUCCUUACAAAAGAAUCCGUUUCCACUAAACCCCUGAGCGUUUCACAUGUCGUCAUUAGAAAGCCUCUUGUUUACUCAUCUUCUUUAGUUUAUUUGCCCAGUCCACAAAAAUAUUUGGUCGGCGUGACUUCCUGUAACCAAAUGUGGGUGCCCUGCCGAAAGGUAUCAAGCCGCCUGUACUUUGAUGAGGCUGUGGCUGGGGCCGACCGCCAUUUUGAAACAAGCACAGACCACAAGAAUGCUGGGCAGGGCCUACCCCCUGCAACUGUAACCAGGUUUCAGCGCCGUGGGACCCAUGAAUCACAGGCGUCUGGAGAGAAGUAUCAAGCAGAACAGGGGAAAAACUCAAUCAUCGUCUUGGAGAGUCGUGAUGCAUGACCCCCUCAGAGCUGCGGAUACCCCAAGAAUGGACAGGAAGGGCUCCAUCCCGGAGGCCCUGGUUUACCAGCCACAGCGACGGUCUCUGCUCCUGCUCCCAGGCAACAUUCAGAUCUUCAGCGUUUCUUCACAGAGAUUCUUCCCCAGAGGAAGCAGCUUGCCAAUGGGCCUGUGUUCCUGCCUCUCUCCAGCAGCCCAGGCUCAGCGAAAACAGCUUCUCUUGCGAGCUGAAACUUACCCAAACGAACCAGGAAUAAAAACUUUUAGAAGCAAACGUAACCUUUGGAGCUGCUUGCAUUUGUACCCUCUUGACGUGUGCCUACAAUGA
rnacentral:lncRNA from 1 species